rnacentral:misc_RNA from 1 species
AAGUCGUAACAAGGUUUCCGUAGGUGAACCUGCGGAAGGAUCAUUAACACGUAUCCAACGUUAACCCGGUAAAUCAUUGCCAAACAGUUUUGAUUCGGGACCUCUGUCCAAAAGGAGUUGCAAUCGAAGGGUGGAAGCAGUGGCAUGGCUUCCCCAAGCAGUUAGUGAAUGACAGUGUCACUGACUGUGUAAGGAUAACGCCUCACGGUUGCUAGAGGUCGAUCACCGACCGGCAGACAUGUCACAGGGUCACCACGCCCCUUAAUCACUCCACUUGAAAAUGCCCCGCCUAGUGGUAACGCGCUAGGUAAAAAAACCGAACAACUGUUAACAAUGGAUAUCUUGGUUCUC